rnacentral:sRNA from 1 species
GCCCCAGAUGCAAGACGCCGACGGGCCCGCGGACUCCGGAGGGGAAGGCCGGGCAGGUGGGCCACCGCAGGUCGCCGGCGCCCAGGCGGCGCGCAGCGAGGACCGCAUGACCCUGCUCCUCAGGCUGAGAGCACAGACAAAACAACAACUCUUAGAAUAUAAAUCAAUGGUUGAUGCAAGUGAAGAAAAAACUCCAGAACAAAUUAUGCAAGAAAAGCAAAUCGAAGCUAAAAUUGAAGACCUGGAAAAUGAAAUUGAAGAGGUGAAAAUUGCCUUUGAGAUAAAAAAGCUUGCAUUAGACAGGAUGAGACUUUCAACUGCACUUAAAAAAAACCUGGAGAAAAUUAGCACCCAGUCUAGGUAUGAUUUUUUUUUUCUCUGGAUUCGGUAAGGAUAGGAUCUGCAUAGUGACUUUAGUUUUGUGAAUUUUAAAAAAUUAUUACUGCCAACUACCUUUAUCUGGGGAAUAAGGAAAGUGAUGAAAUUUUUGUAGGUCCUCCCCAGAAUUACAGCAACUUUUAUAGUUCUAAUUAUAUUUUGUUCCAUAUGGAUUGUAACUGUAAGAAGCAGAAGAGUUUAUCCAGAAGAUUGGAAAAUUUUAAGGGAAAGCUUUAAAAGUUCAUUUUCUUCAGUAUUUACUAUAAAUCAGGAACAGGGCUAUCUCAUUUAAUCCAUCCAAAACACAGUGAGAUAGGAAAUAUACUCCUCAUUUUUUAUUGAUAGAAAUGAGCUUGUUCAGAUCAAACAAUU